CUACGGGUGGCUCCAGUGGGGAAUAUUGCACAAUGGAGGAAACUCUGAUGCAGCAACGCCGCGUGGAGGAUGACACUUUUCGGAGCGUAAACUCCUUUUAUAUAGGAAGAUAAUGACGGUACUAUAUGAAUAAGCACCGGCUAACUCCGUGCCAGCAGCCGCGGUAAUACGGAGGGUGCAAGCGUUACUCGGAAUCACUGGGCGUAAAGAGCGUGUAGGCGGGUUAAUAAGUCAGAAGUGAAAUCCUAUGGCUCAACCAUAGAACUGCUUUUGAAACUGUUAACCUAGAGUGUGGGAGAGGUAGAUGGAAUUUCUGGUGUAGGGGUAAAAUCCGUAGAGAUCAGAAGGAAUACCGAUUGCGAAGGCGAUCUACUGGAACAUAACUGACGCUGAGACGCGAAAGCGUGGGGAGCAAACAGGAUUAGAUACCCCCGUAGUC
rnacentral:rRNA from 1 species